rnacentral:lncRNA from 1 species
AAAAAAAAAAAGAAAAGAAAAAAAAGAGAGAGAGAAACAAACGGAAAAAAAGGAAAGCUCAACAUUUUUUAACCCCGUCUAUGUUUUUGUUUGUUUUUUAGCCUCCCAUUUGAAACGUGGUAAUACUGUGAUUCCAUUUCUUGUUUAGCUGGUGAGGGAAGAGGGUGGGCAAGUUUAUGUAACUUUUUCUGUUGUUUUGUUUUUAUUUCCUUUUCCUUUUUUUUUCCCCCCCUAUUUUAAUGUACAGAAAUGCAAACUCUCUCUCUGGGUUUUUUUUUUCUAUCUUCUAUGUUCUAGAAUUUUCUUUUUGUGUGUGUUACUGUGGGAACCUUUCCUCUUAAUGCAGAGAUGGCUUUUGAAUUUUAAGUGAACAUUAAUCAUAUACACAUCUCUAUAUACUUUUUUUUCCUUUGUAAUCUGAAUUUAAAAGGGAAGAUAACUCUAAAAAAAAAUCACUCCCACACCAACAGCUCCUGCCAAGUCAGCAGCGGCAGCAAAUCCUCCUUUCAACUCCAGGCACAGGCUGGAGCUGCCGCAGAUUUUAAAUUAACUACAGUGGUGCAGCCUGUGCUGCUACGUUCCCCAGGAAGCUGGAGAGAAGCGGGAGACCCAGGGAGGGGAAGAGACUUGUCCUGGGUUGCCCAGGGAGCUUCUUGGAGCUUGCUGCUACUCCUUGGUUCAGUUUAGUAUAAUGGGCUGGACACAGGGGACAGGGAGCAGGACAGGCUGUUCAGGACCAUCAGUGUCAGACCUCAGACUAAGAUCCUUAGGAAAAUGUGGAGGAAUGAGAGGUCUGAAGGCACCUGGCAGAGUUUAGCUGAGACACUUCAGGCAAGCAAAAAAUUCCAUCUUGGGCUGGGCACAGUGGCUCACACCUGUAAUCCUAGCACUUUGGGAGGCUGAGGGGGACGGAUCACCUGAGGUCAGGAGCUCAAGACCAGCCUGACCAACAUGGUGAAACCCCAGCUCUACUAAAAAUACAAAAAUUCGGCUGGCCAUGGUGGCUCACAACUGUAAUCCCAGCACUUCGGGAGGCUGAGGCGGGCAGAUCACCUGAGGUCAGGAGUUCGAGACCAGCCUGGCUAACAUGGCAAACCCCCGUCUCUACUAAAAAUACAAAAAAAUUAGCCAGGCAUGGUGGUGCAUGCCUGUAAUCUCAGCUACUCAGGAAGCUGAGGCAGGAAAAUCACUUGAACCUGGGAGGCAGAGGUUGCAGUGAGCGGAGAUCAUACCACUGCACUCCAGCCUAGGUGACAGAGUGAGACUCCGUCUCGGAAAAAAAAAAAAAAAUAGCCAGGCAUGGUGGGCACCUGUAAUCCCAGCUACUUGGGAGGCUGAGGCAGGAGGAUCGCUUGAACCCAGGAGGCAGAGGUUGCAGUGAGCUGAGAUUGUGCCAUUGCACUCCAGCCUGGAUGACAAGAGCGAGACUCUGUCUCAAAAAAAAAAAAAAAUCCAUCUUGAUCUCGAGACUGAGGCCAGUGAUGUGGUUACUCCCAAUAAACCCCUUUGUUGGCCCAUCCCAGGUGAUGGUUGAACCCCACAGGACUUUCUGGGUUCUGAUGCUUACAGGAGAAACUGCAGCUCUGAGAGGUCAAGUGACUGGCUCAAGGUCACACAGCUAUUUAGAGGUAGAUCCAAAAGUAGACCCCAGGCAGGGCGCAGUGGCUCACACCUGUAAUCCCAGCACUUUGGGAGGCUGAGGCAGGAGGAUCACUUGAGGCCUGCAGUUCCAGACUGACUGGUCAACAGAACAAGACUGUAUCUCUACAAAAAUAUAUAUAUAUUUUUUUAAUCAGCCAGGCAUGGUGGCAUGUGCCUAUAGUCUCGUCUACUGAGGGAGAUGAGGGAGGAGAAUCACUUGAGCUCAGGAGUCCAAGGCUGCAGUAAGCCAUGAUUGCACCACUGUACUCCAGCCUGGGCAACACUGCAAGACCCUGUCACUACAAAAAUUUAAAAGAAAAAGCUGGGCAUGGUGGAAUACACCUGUAAUCCCAGCUACUCAGGAGACUGAGACAGGAGGAUUGCUUGAACCCAGAAGUUUGAGGCUGCAGUGAGCCAUGAUUGCGCCAUUGCACUCCAGCUUGGGCAACAGAGCAAGACCCUGUCUCAAAACAAACAACAACAACAAAAAAUAGACUCCAGCCCUCUGACUCUGACCUCUAGACUCCAGCUAAGCUGUGGAGAGGGUGGAAAAUGGGAAGCACAGUCCAGGAGCCCUGAGCAGAAGGAGGAUUUGGGAGGUGGUUGCUGGUUGUCUCAGCUCCUGCUUUCCCCCAUUAGACCCAUCCAGAAAUCAGCUUCCUGCUCUCUCAUGUCCCUAGACCAAGGUCUGCCUACACUGAGAGACCCGGGUGCAGGUGGCCCCCACAUUACAGAAACUCAUAUGAUUGUUGCUUCUGUGACUCAGGGAACCCUAAACCCUCACAGUUCAUACAUGUGGGGAAAUAAAUAUCGAGGCACAGAGAGGGAAGAGAGUCACUCAAGGUCACACAAUGUAGGAUGAAAGAGGAAGAUACUGAUCAGGAGACCUCCUGGGAGAAGCCCUCCUGUCCAGUCUUACCUGGUGCCUUCACUGGCCUCCCUCCAGCCCCCACCAGCAGAACCUGGUGCUAGGCUCACCCUCCCAAGGCCCAGAAAGAGUAUACAGAGUUUGCCGUCUUUUCUAUUUUAUUAUUGCAUUCCUGUCCCAGGGGCCACCUGCUCACCUUCGAAGUCUCUAGCGUUAGAAGUUUCAGGGGAUGGGGCAGUCACAGUGACUUAUGCCGGUAAUGCCAGUACUUUGGAAGGGCGAGGCAGGAAGAUCACUUGAGACCAGGAGUUUGAAAUCAGCCUGGGCAACAUAGCAAGACCCCUAUCUCUACAAAAAAAAAAUUUUUUUUAAUUAGCCAGAUGUGAUGGUGCAUGCCUACAAUCCCAGCUACUUGGAAGGCCGAGGUGGGAGGAUCACUUGAGCCCAGGAGUUGGAGGCUACAGUGAGCUAUCAUCCUGUCUGUAGUCCCAGCUACUCGGGAGGCUGAGUCAGGAGAAUCACUUGAACCCAGGAGGCAGAGGUUGCAGUAAGUUGAGAUCGCACCAUUGCACUCCAGCCUGGGUGACAGAGCGAGACUCCAUCUCAAAAAAAAAACCCCAAAAAACAAAAAACCCUACAGUGUCCGGGGCUGCCUGGAAGGUGACACCCUUAGGUGAGGGUGGCAGAGAAGGCUCAGGAUCAUGGCCUUGGGGCUGUCUCUGGCUUCUCCCUGUGGUCCAAAUUUUAUCAUGUAAUGGGCAGCCUCAGGUGACCCCCAAGAAGAGGUGCCAAGGCACCCCCUGACCUGCCUUAUACAGGAACAGAAAAAGCAAAAGGGAUGAAUUUUGCUAAAAGGAUGCCAAAGCCAGAGGGAAAGGAGUGGGACUGACCUGAGGCAGGGUCACUCCUCCAGAUCGGCUCUGUGGUUGCCUUCCCUUUUAAAUGCGCGUUUUCCCUUCACCCAUCUGUCCACUCCGAUUGGCCUUGUUUAAACAGUGCUUGUCUCCUCUUUCUGUCUGGGGGCACCUUUCUCUCUUCCUGCCUCUCUGUUUCUGUUUGCUUCUGUCAUUGUUUCUGUCUUUCUGUUUCUCUUUCUCCUUCUCUUCCCAUUUCUAUCUCUGCCUGACUUUGUCUGUUCGUCUGUCUCUCUGUCUGUCUGCCUCCUGUCUCUCUCUCUUCCUUUCCAUCCCUCUCCCCCGGCAUGGGCCUCUCUCCCAUGCUGCCAGCCCCUCUGUAGCCCACCCUGUGGUUCUCUUCCAUCAGCUGCUUCCUGCAUGCUCUAUGGAGGUUUUCUGUUGUUCGAACAAUAAAGAAAGCUUGGCUAGUGGAACCCAUUGUUUAAAAAGGAGGAAAAAAAAAGAGCAAACAGAAAUGGCCGUGCAAGAGCCCCCUCCCAUCCCUGGGAUGAGACAAAAGCCACAUUGGCCACCCAUCUACUGGCUCAGAGGGGGAGCACAGUUUAGGGUCACUGUCUUUCCCCCAUUCUGCAUUCCCAAUGCGGAGACCUUCUUUUCUUUUUUAUUAUUGCAUUCCUGUCCCUGAGCACUGAGAAGAAGCCCAGCUCGCCCUCGCCCAGGGUCCGUGAUAAGGCGGCGGCCGCCGCACCCACGCCGCCCGCGCGGGGGAAGGAGAGCCCGAGCCCGCGCUCGGCGCCGUCGUCCCAAGGUCGCGGAGGCCGCGCGGCGGGCGGGGCGGGCAGGCGGCG